GCUGGCGGCGUGCUUAACACAUGCAAGUCGCGUGCGCAGUUUCCGUAGCAAUACGGGGAUGGGCGCACGGCGCACGGGUGCGUAACACGUGGGCAAUCUGCCCUCCGAUGGGGAAUACCCCCGCGAAAGCGGGACUAAUUCCGCAUAACAUUCCUUGGAUUAACUUUCGAGGAUUCAAAGCAGCAAUGCGUCGGAGGAGGAGCCCGCGCCCGAUUAGCUAGUUGGUGAGGUAACGGCUCACCAAGGCAAUGAUCGGUAGCUGGUCUGAGAGGAUGGCCAGCCACACUGGAACUGAGACACGGUCCAGACUCCUACGGGAGGCAGCAGUGGGGAAUCUUGCACAAUGGGCGAAAGCCUGAUGCAGCGACGCCGCGUGGGGGAUGAAGCUUUUCGGAGUGUAAACCCCUUUCGACUGGGACGAAUGCCUCGCAAGAGGAGUGACGGUACCAGUAUAAGAAGCCCCGGCUAACUACGUGCCAGCAGCCGCGGUAAGACGUAGGGGGCCAGCGUUGUUCGGAAUUACUGGGUGUAAAGGGUUCGUAGGCGGUGUGGCAAGUCGGGAGUGAAAUCUCUGGGCUCAACCCAGAGACUGCUUCCGAAACUGCUGUGCUUGAGUGUGA
rnacentral:rRNA from 1 species